UUUGGCUUUGACCUAUUGUGACAACCACCAAAUUAUGGUGUGAUGCGUAUUAUAAUUUUUCAAAUUAGUGUUCUCGGACUUACAUUCAUGUAAAGUACACAAUCAAUGUGAGAGAACGUAGGAAAGAGAUGUGCACGAUGCAAUUUGUGAGCCAUUUGGCGAUACAAAAGAGAAUUUUAAUCUACGAGAUGAAACAUCUUUUAGGUGACGCGGCUGCGUUUUAUAUUCUCAAGAACCACUACGCCGGUAUUCUAUCUAACCACUGAAGAAAUUUGAACUCCUGAUUUCUCAAUUGGUUUAACGCAGAAAUAUUGUAUCAAUAGAAAAUUCUCAAAUUCUUUGAAACUUAGUUCGCAGCCAUAUGUUAACUUGUGAAGCAAGUGCAGAGCUUAAUAUACGUAAAACUUUGAUUACUGGAAUUUGAUGCAUUUUUGAGUUUAUAAGCUAUAUCUUAUUCGCUUGCCAAUGUUUCGAUGCAGAUGGAGGAGCAGCAGUAACUGAAGAGAAACGCGAUUGUUAUGGAUGGUUGGAAGAGAUUGAAAUGCCUGAGAACGCAGAAAUGGAUAUAAUUGAGUACUUGGGUCCACAAGUUAGUGAGACGAGUUCGUAGCACUCCCGAUGUAUGUCCUCGAAUAUAUAUUCUUCUCCACGCUCUGCUCCAAACGGAAAUCUCUCUUUUUUCUUUGGUACAGUGUUUGAAUUAAGAUAAGAUGGUUGUUGAGCUUCCUUUCGUUAUUUUGUUCUUUCAUAUGUACCAUACUUUACAUGUUUUGAGAAAAAAAGUUGGGUGGAUUUGGUUAACAUUUGCGCUCAUGGUUUAUGAAUUUGACUAACCUCUUGGAAUUCAAAUUUUGUACUCAUAACUUUUUGAAACUCAACUCGUGUCGUGUUUCACUUUGCCUUUAUAUUGUUAAAGUCCAUUGAAUAAAUUUGUUAAAGCGAUUACAUGGCAAAAAUCCUAAAAAAAUUGUUAAGAGUUAUUUUCUUAUUUGGAUAAGAAAACUUCGACUUAAAUUUGUUUUUGUUUAUUAAUUUUCCAAUCAUAUCUCAACGACAAGGGGUUUUAUUUGUGCCACAUAACAAUUUUGAUAGAUUUGUUAACGAAUUUUGACGGUAAAGGUAAAGUGAGAUACGAGUUGAGUUUCAAUUUAGGAAAUAAAAUGACAAAAUUUGUGUUUUAGGGAGUUAAUUGAGAUAUGAGUUGAGUUUUAGUGGCCAAUAAAUUGUAGACUGUUGAGAGAGAGAAUCUCACGUCUGGGCAAACAUAAACCGCUUCAAGGCUUCAAGACACAAAUUAGGGGUGGAUUGGAUCUGAGAAUGAAGGAGGUUAGACAUAUAGGGCCUACUUGGUGGGCUGUAUGAGAUUGAGUCUUAGGGAUAAGAGUCAAUUGGCAGAGACAUGUAAGACAUAAUUUGUAAUCCAUGCAUAAGGAUAGAUUAGAUAACUACUCUAUUGUGGAUACGUAAUCUAUCAUUUCUAGUUAUGUCCAUCUUAUAUUUUUACACAACAAAUAAGAGAUUAGACUAAAGUUCAUUCUAAUUGUUCACAACCUAUCUCAACUAGUCAACCAACCAGGCCCAUACGGCUUCAAGACACAAAUUAGGGGUGGGUUGGACCUGAGAAUGCAGGAGGUGAGAUAGGAGGAGUUUUAUGUGUGUUGGUCGGAUGGGUAUGUUCGUCCGGCCGGCCGAAUAUAAAUUUCUGGACUGAAAUAGCACUAGAGUGGAGUCCUAGAUCAAGUGAAAAGGGGGACAUGACCUAAGUGGAUCUCCUGUUCCAGGGGGCCUGUACCUUUAAUAAAGCAUAUCAUAUCUAAUCACCCGCCAAGUCUAUCUUCAUAUGUCCUAUGAAAGAACAAUGUCCAUUGAAAAAUAAAAAUCUUGGAGUGUAUAAUGAAUUCUCAAUGAUUAUGGGUUUGAACUUCUGAAAUUCAUGAGAAACUAAUAAAUUAUUGGAUAACCACGACAAGUGAUCCAGUGAAAAUGCAGUAGAAUUUCUAGUCAGGUAUGCUCUUUGGUCUUGGUUUGAGUUACAAAGCUAGCAAAAAUACGAGUGAUUUCCUAGCUGAAAGCUUUGGGAGGACAUGUGCCAUUUGACUGUGACCAGGGGUGGGUUGAAAUGCCUUUAGCCUUUUCAAGCCUCACUAGGAAUUUUUUUUUUAACAAAUGAUUAUCUACACUAAGGGGAAGGGGAUGAGAUUAGCCUCACAAUGGGCUAGCAAUCAUAUGGUUCAAACUCAUCUUUGGCGAGAAUCGAACCUAAGACCUCUCACUUACAAGUGAAGAGGAAUACCACUAGACCGUAGUACUAAGUGGCAAAAAAUAAACCAAUUAUCAGGCCUCAAGUCUACAAUUUAGGGUAUGGGAUACCUCAUGCUAUGACAAAAAAUAAACCAAUUAUCAGAUUCAAAUAUAAGAUAUUAAUUAAACAUUGAUGAUAUAACGAUCAAAGAUUUGACGAUAUUGUGAUCAACUAUUGAAAACUGAUCAAUUCAACAAUUGAAAUUUGAAAAAUGAUCAUUUCAGCCAAUUUUCACAAAAAAAUAAAAAUGUUAUAACGAUAAGAAUUUUGAUGAUAUUGUGAUCAACUAGUGCAAAAUGAUCAUUUCAGCAACUGAAAUUUAAAAAAAAAUGAUGGCCAAUUUACACAGAGGAAAUUGGAGGAAUGGUCCCUGAACUAUGAUCAGAAUGUAGUUAUGGUCCUUAAACUUAAAAUUCAUUAGAUUUGGUCCUUGAACUUAACAAAAUGUAGAGUAUUGGUCCCUCCAUACUAACACUGUGAGAUUUUCCAUUAGUUUGAUGACGUGGUCUUUGUGGGCUCCAUAUUUUUGUUAAUUAAAUUCCACGUGGCUUAAAAAUUCAAAAUAAAAAUAAAUACAAACAUAGAGAAAGAAAAAAAAUAAAAAUAUAAAAGUUAUCUCUGUCUCUCUCUCUCUCCCGUCUUUUCUUCUGCCCCGCCUCCGCCAAACCCCAGCCACAACAUUGUAGCACUCUCCAAACAACCAAAACAAAAGAAAGUUUCUAAUCCAUUUCGAACACAUCUCCCUUUGUAAAUGAAUUCACAAUGACAUCCAUCCAUGCUGUCUCGAUAGGUAAGAUUCAAGAGUUUUGUGGGAUGCAGGUUCGAGAUUUGGUCAAGGCUGUGCUUUGUGGGCUACAGGUUGGGGUUGGUUGGGGAGUGGGGAUUAACGAUUGGGGGUUGGAAGUGGGAGGUUGGUGGGGAGUGUAUCAAAGAUUGAAGUUGAAGGGUGGGCUGCGAGUGUUGGUGGAUGAGGUAGGCCUGCAAUUUUUGUUGUAAUUUUCAUCUUUUCUAUUAUAUAUAGGUGAAACUAACAUGUAAACACUUUUAACUAAAACUUAAUGGAAUUGGUAAUGACGGACUAACGCUCCACAUCUUAUCAAGUUCAAGGACCAAAUAUAAUGAUUUUUUAGUUUAGGGACUUGUUGACCUUAAAAACUAUCAGGCCUACGUGGCGCGGAUGCCGAGUAACUAAUGAGCUAACUAUGUCCUUCGGUUGCAUGCAGGGCGUGCCAACUCGUCGCCCGAGGAGUAAAAUUUGUUGAUGUUGCGUUGGGUGCGCUGCUGACUUCUGAAUCCUGUAACUGCGGCCGAGGAAGGAACACUCUCGACCCUCGGGUUCUAGAGCUUGAAGACAAAGUUACUAGUUCUGUGAAGUUCACAAAUUGUCGGCACCAGAUUCAGUCACGGUGAUUAUAUUCGUAAGAGUAUAAGCACGCCGAAUCGACACCAGAGUAUAUGGACACAGAUACUCAAAACAAAUGUACGUCUUGAUUGUGAAAGUGGUUCGGCUGUCAGAAUGCCGAACUCUAAAACCUACUUGUGAAUAACCAAUCAUAAACAACUCGGCGUUCAAAAUGCCGAGCCCAGUAAUUCGUAACACCUCAUUUUGCAAAGAAUACUAAUGAGAUGACCUCUGCCAAUAAGGACUCAAAAAUCCUUCUUGACCGAGACUUGGAUAGAUAACCAGUCGGCCUCGACGCAGUGCUGCUUAUCCAAACUGAAGGUGCUCUGCGGUUGGCUAAUUCUACGGCAACAGUGCUAUUUAUCCAAACUGAAGAUGUGUCGGCAAAAGAAGAAAAUAAAAAUCUCAAUGUUGUUGAGAGGUUUUGCAAAAGCGAGGGUUUGUGCAGAGCAGUUUGUGUGUUGAAUUGGAGAGAGCCUAAUGAUGUCCUCCUCCCUCUAUUUAUAGUAGUCAACCUGCUUCCGCUCGAAUCACAACCAUACUUGGACUAGAACUCCUUCCCCUGAUCUAACCUUAUCUCGGCCAUUCCUACUCCUACUAGGACUUUGAACUCAACCCCCCUAUCAAACCGCAUUCAAUCCCAAACUUCUACAUUCUUAUCCUGUCAAAACUCCUUCUCGUAUCAGGAUUCAACCACUCAUGGAUUCCUAAUAGAACACGGUCGGCCUUGGCUAUGUGGCCCACAAGCCGGAUGCCCCCCAACGACUCCUAAGCACGGCCUCUGGGCCGAGAGCAAAUCUAAACUCGGCCCAAACUAAUAUUUUUGGGUCCAAACAGGACUAAAGCUACAAUUAUAGGAUAGUUAAGGGACCAUUCCUCCCAUUUCCUCUUACACAUAAGGUAAAGAUGGUAAGAAACUUAAGUAGUUAAAAACAUUAAUUCUUAUACAGAGGUCUUGAGUUCAACUCUUCAUCGUUGACUUUAGAAGGCUCUCAUUUCCAUGUUGAAUGAUUCUUCCACUUAAAGUAAGUGGGUCUUUCAAACCCUAAAGGCUACAGUUGUGUCCCAACAAACACGAAAUUGGAAAAUGCUUUAAGCCUAAAGUUGAUAUGAGACCAGAAGACAUUGGGCUGAGUAGGAAUCUGCAGUUCUUCAAGCCUAAAACUGUUGUGAAGGGGACUCCUAGGGUCACGUAUACAACCAUAUAUGAGUGCAAUAAAUUUUCGGUAAGUCUAGUACUUCCUUCUACCUAGUUUGCCCAGUAUUUACUUCGGUCGCUUUCCGCAGAACCGACUAUAAGAUCACCAUAUAGGGUGAUUUGCAAAGUUUUCUUUUACAAAAACCAUUUACUAGGUCGAUUGUUGAUUGGUUCUCCUGUUUAUUUCCAUGUGCAGUUGUGCUGCUUUUUUAUUCCGGCAAAUGGCGUUAUCCCACUCCAUAACCAUCCAUUUAUGACUGUUUUCAGCAAGCUUCUACUAGGCAAGAUGCAUAUUAAAUCAUACGAUUGGGUUGAUCCCGUUAAUUCAGAUGGCUCCACGCCAGCCCCACAAUGUGAGUCAACAUCACCCUCCUGUAAAGUUAAAAGUUAAAACAAAAAAUAAAAACUAUCUGGGACCGUGUCUUAACCGGUAUCUAAUACUAUUAGGAUGAUUUUGCAGUGAGACUGGCCGAGUUGAAAGCUGAUAGUGUCUUCACAGCCCCUUGCAAUGCAUCAGUACUAUAUCCAACAAAAGGUGGCAACAUCCAUGCAUUCACGGCCAUAACACCAUGUGCAGUGCUCGAUGUGAUUGGACCUCCGUAUUCUAAAGAAGAUGGCCGGGAUUGCUCAUAUGACAAAGAUCAUCCCUAUGCUGCAUCUUCAAGUAAGUGACCUCUUGCUCUGUGGCCUUCAUCACUUGCUUCUUUGACAAAUUGCCAAAUAUAUGAGUUUAUUGGCUUUGACCUAUUGUGACAACCACCAAAUUAUGGUGUGAUGCGUAUUAUAAUUUUUCAAGUUAGUGUUCUCGGACUUACAUUCAUGUAAAGUACACAAUCAAUGUGAGAGAACGUAGGAAAGAGAUGUGCACGAUGCAAUUUGUGAGCCAUUUGGCGAUACAGAAGAGAAUUUUAAUCUACGAGAUCAAAUAUCUUUUGGUGACGCGGCUGUGUUUUAUAUUCUCAAGAACCACUACGCCAGUUUAUGUGUAGUAGUAGUGUACGGUCCUCAACUUUUGCUGCUUAGGUAGGGUCCUCAGUAUUCUAUCUAACCACUGAAGAAAUUUGAACUCCUGAUUUCUCAAUUGGUUUAACGCAGAAAAAUUGCAUCAAUUGCAAAAUUCUCAAAUUCUUUGAAACUUAGUUCGCAGCCAUAUGUUAAAACUUGUGAAGCAAGUGCAGAGCUUAAUAUACUUAAAACUUUGAUUACUGGAAUUUGAUGCAUGUUUGAGUUUAUAAGCUAUAUCUUAUUCGCUUGCCAAUGUUUCGAUGUAGAUGGAGGAGCAGCAGUAACUGAAGAGAAACACGAUUGUUAUGGAUGGUUGGAAGAGAUUAAAAUGCCUGAGAACGCAGAAAUGGAUAUAAUUGAGUACUUGGGUCCACAAGUUAGUGAGACGAGUUCGUAGCACUCCCGAUGUAUGCCCUUCGAGUAUAUAACCACGCUCUGCUCUAAACGGAAAUCUCUCUUUUUUAUUUGGUACAGUGUUUGAAUUAAGAUAAGAUGGUUGUAGAUCUUCCUUACGUUAUUUUGUUCUUUCAUAUGUACCAUACUUUACAUGUUUUGAGAAAAAAAGUUGGGUGGAUUUGGUUAAUUAACCUUUGCGCUCAUGGUUUAUGAAUUUGACUGACUUAUUGGAAUUCAAAUUUUGUCAUUUAACUUUUUGAAACUCAACUCGUGUCAUGUUUCACCUUGCCUUUAUACAGUUAAAGUCCGUUGAAUAAAUUUGUUAAAACUAUUACAUGGCAAAACUCCUAAAAAAUUUGUUAAGAGUUAUUUUCUUAUUUGGAUAAGAAAACUUCAACUUAAAUUUUUUUUAUUUAUUAAUUUUUCAAUCAUAUGACACCCAUCUCAUCAACAAUGAGUUUUAUUUGUGCCACAUAACAAUUUUGAUGGAUUUUUAACGACUUUUGACGAUAGAGGCAAAGUGAGACGCGAGCUGAGUUUCAAUUCAUGGAAUAAAAUGACAAAAUUUGUGUUUUAGGGAGUUAAAUGAGAUCCAAGUUGAGUUUUCAUGGCUAAUGAAUUGUAGAAUGUUGAGAGAGAGAGAGAGAGAGAAUCUUGCGUCUAGGUAGACAUAUAUGGCUUCAAGACACAAAUUAGGGGGUUGGACCUGAGAAUGCUGGAGGUGAGAUAGGUGGAGUUUUAUGUGUGUUGGUCGGAUGGGUGUGUUCGUCCGGCCGGCCGAAUAUAAAAACUUCUGGACUGAAAUAGCACUAGAGUCGAGUCCUAAUCAAGUGAAAAGGGAACAUGACCUAGGUGGAUCUCCUGUUCCAGGGGGCCUAUACCUUUAACAAAGCAUAUCAUAUCUAAUCACCCGCCAAAUCUAUCUUCAUUUGUCCUAGGGAAGAACAAUGUCCAUUGAAAAUUAAAAAUCUUGGAGUGUAUAAUGAAUUCUCAAUGAUUAUGGGUUUGAACUUCUGAAAUUCAUGAGAAAUUAAUAAAUUAUUGGAUAACCACAACAAGUGGUCCCAUGAAAUUAGGGUAGAAUUCCCAGUCAGGUAUGCUCUUUGAUCUUGUUUUGAGGUACGAAGCUAGCAAAAAUACGAGUGGUUUCCUAGCUGAAAGCUUUAAGAGGACAUGUGUCAGAAAUUAAUAAAUUAUUGGAUAACCACAACAAGUGGUCCAAUGAAAUUACGGUAGAAUUCCCAGUCAAGUAUGCUCUCUGAUCUUGUUUUAAGGUAGGAAGCUAGCAAAAAUACGAGUGGUUUCCUAGCUGAAAGCUUUAAGAGGACAUGUGUCAUUUGACUGUGAUCAGGAGUGAGCUGAAAUGCCUUUAGCCUUACCAGGCCUCACUAGGAUUUAAGUCUACUAUUCAGGGUCUGGGAUACCUCAUGCUACGGCAAAAAAUAAACAAAUUAUAAGAUUCAAUUAUAAGAUAUUAAUUAAACAUUGAUGAUAUAACAAUUAAAGAUUUGACGAUAUUAUGGUCAACUAUUGAAAACUGAUCAAUUUAACAAUUGAAAUUUGAAAAAUAAUCAUUUCAGCCAAUUUUUACAAAAGAUAAAGUUGUUAUAAUGAUAAAAAAAAUUUGACGUUAUUGUGAUCAACUAGUGAAAAAUGAUCAAUUCAAUAAUUGAAAUUAAAAAAAAUGAUCAUUUUGGCCAAUUUACACACAAGAUAAAGAAGGUAAGAAACUUAAGUUAGUUAAAAACAUUAAGGGAAAUUUUAUUUAAACUCAUUUAACCUCUUUUUACAUCCAACUUAAAUUUUAAAUGUUAAUUGUCUAUUUUAUCCUAUUGCAUAAUUACUAUUAAGUACAAAAUGAAAUUAAUAAUAAAACUCAAAUUUAUCAAUAAACCCAAACACUAUAAUUAAACCCUACGAUCACUCUUUGUUUAUUCUACGUUCAUUCUGACUAAAACCCUAAUAGCUCUUAUAGAUACUUUCAUGGUUACCACAGUCAUAUCUCUCCUCCGAUUCCGUUGUGUAUGCAAGUCAUGGCGCGACUUAAUCUCCACUUCCCAGUUCGUCGCCAAGCAACGAACACAUACCAACGACAACAACAAGAAUGU
rnacentral:lncRNA from 1 species